rnacentral:misc_RNA from 1 species
AGAGCCAUACGGCCGCAGCUCGACCGCAGCAUGAGGGAAGGCAGCUGGAGUGAAGCGAACCGCAAGAUGCCCGGCACGGUAGUUCGAUAUGAGAAGGUGAAGCAGGAACCGGUGCCCUUGGAUACAGAGAUCAGACAUCCAGUGGCACAAUUCUAUUCUUUAUUGGGCAGCUGGCAUCGCCCUCAACUCUUCCGGAGAGCCUAAAGCAAGAUGGCACUAUUCUCAAGCGUUCAGCCAGUAUACAAGGCAUUCUUCAAGGCAGGAGUAUGCAAGAGACUUGAAGUACAUGAACUCAUCCAGCCAUGCCUAUCGUCGAUCUGAGUACAGCCUUUCCGAUUGUCGUUCGUCGCACAGGAGCCAUCGGAAGCACCGGCGGCACCAUUGAGCAGUAUUAGUGAUCAGAAGACUCGGUUGGGUAUUGUUCAGCGAAGCGGGUCUCUUUGCACUUGUGCAUCUACAAGUACAGCCAUUGCACUUACUUCCUCCACUAUAGUCAUGCACUCACACCAUUAAGCGCUGUAAUUCAGCGAUGCGGAUCUUUCAGUCAAGGAGGACAUGCGACAUUCGUUCUGGGCCUUGUCAAUGGGCCAUCCUUUUAAGUAAGGUUUGUUCCAAUGCAAAAAAGGUUCACCCCACCACACACGAAAAGAUGCAGGUUGUGGUGCGCCAGACUGCACCCACUUGCUGCGAGGUUCAAGGCUGCAUUGUAUCGUUGCGGUACCUUACCUUGCACCCAGCGCUAUCGACAACAGGGUGCAGUGUGCGUCACUGCAUACCUCCGAACACAGCCGUGAUGGGAGAAGUGGGGGCCUAGGUGCAGUGCACCGAGAAUAAGUGGAGAAACACGAUUCAAUCGAAUAAACCUGCAAUAUGCUGCUCAUGGAGGGUCCUAUGCCCUACAGAAAUACAUGGAGCAUUACAGCAUGCACUUUACAUAAAACUGUAGCCCAAUUUC